AUAAGUAAAGGAAGACUAAAAAAAUAAUUCCAUUCUUCGGCCACAAUAUCUAUUCCCAAUUUUAUUUUCCAUUUCUCUUGUAUGCGUGAUGGGGUUUCCUUUAUUUUAUCUAGAAAAAAUUUAUACAAAUGUUUUGAUACUUUAUCAACUGUUUUUAUGGCGGUAACAAUUUUGUGACUGACAGUAUUUAGUUUGAGAAAUACUUGAGAAUGAAUAACAUUCUUCCAUUCCUUUGGAAGUGCCAAGAUUAGUCCAUAGAACUCUAGGAAAGUUGUUUUUAUAUUAUAA
rnacentral:lncRNA from 1 species